rnacentral:rRNA from 1 species
GACGAACGCUGGCGGCGUGCUUAACACAUGCAAGUCGAACGCUGAAGCUUGGUGCUUGCACUGGGUGGAUGAGUGGCGAACGGGUGAGUAAUACGUGAGUAACCUGCCCUUGACUCUGGGAUAAGCCUGGGAAACUGGGUCUAAUACUGGAUACGACAUGCCACUGCAUGGUGGUGUGUGGAAAGGGUUUUACUGGUUUUGGAUGGGCUCACGGCCUAUCAGCUUGUUGGUGGGGUAAUGGCCUACCAAGGUGACGACGGGUAGCCGGCCUGAGAGGGUGACCGGCCACACUGGGACUGAGACACGGCCCAGACUCCUACGGGAGGCAGCAGUGGGGAAUAUUGCACAAUGGGCGGAAGCCUGAUGCAGCGACGCCGCGUGAGGGAUGACGGCCUUCGGGUUGUAAACCUCUUUCAGCACGGAAGAAGCGAGAGUGACGGUACGUGCAGAAGAAGCGCCGGCUAACUACGUG